UGUGGAAAUGGGUUGACAGGUGGAAAUGGGUUGACAGGUGGAAAUGGGUUGACAGGUGGAAAUGGGUUGACAGGUGGAAAUGGGUUGACAGGUGGAAAUGGGUUGCUAGAAGAUGAAAUAGGUCAAAACACACAUAGGUACAUAUCACCUUUUUUUUUUUUUAUUGUUUGUUUGUUUUGGAAAUGUAGAGGAAAUAGGGGAGGAGGAAGAAGAGGAGGAGGAGGAGGAGGCAGAGAAGAAGAAAAAGUUGAGAGAAAGAUUGGAUAUACUUCAUUCUUCCCUCCUCCUCCUCCUCCUCCUCUUCCUCUUCCUCUUCCUCUUCCUCCUCCUCCUCCUUGGCAGCUCAUUAGUCAAGGUUAUUAUCAUUAUUAUUAUUAUUAUUAUUAUUAUUAUUAUUAUGCUUUACGAAAACUGAAAUGCCCAUAAGAUUUGGUUGAAAGAGGAAUAGAGAUUGAUUAUAAGGGAAGUAAAUUGUGUAAGGAGGAAGAGGAGGAGGAAGGAGAAGAGAAGGAAGGAAAGGAAGAGGAGGAGGAGGAGGAGGAGGAGGAAGAGAUUGAACAAGAGAAGGAGGAGGAGGAGGAAGAGAUUGAACAAGAGAAGGAGGAGGAGGUAGAGGAAGAACAGGAGGAGGAGGAGGAGAAACAAUAGGAAGAAGAAGAAGAGGAAGAGGUAGAGAAUGUCGGAUAAUUGAUGUCAUUUCGUCUAUACUUUUGGGGGAUCACGGAUAAUUUGGGGGUAUUAAAGAUGAAACUAAUUACCGUACUUAUAUUCAGAACACUACUACUACUACUACUACUACUACUACUACUACUACUACUACUACUACUACUACUACUACUACUACUACUACUACUACUACUACUACUUCUACCUCUACUUCUACUACUACCCAAAUCUACCUGAUCACUAUUUUUAAGUGUGUGUGUGUGUGUGUGUGUGUGUGUGUGUGUGUUUUUGGAGAGAGAGAGAGAGAGAGAGAGAGAGAGAGAGAGAGAGAGAGAGAGAGAGAGAGAGAGAGAGAGAAAUCGAAAAGACAUAUUAUGCUCGGAAAGGCUGCUACACACACACACACACACACACACACACACACUGUUACCAAUGUGCAAUCUAACACUCUCGUCACUCCACUGUUACCAAGUUUCCUCAGCAGGCUGGAAUGGGAAUAUACAGUGUGGGAAUGCAUGUAUACUGACUUGGAAUAGGAUUUGGAAUGCCUCUAAGGGUGCUGGGUAGACUGGGUUAGAUGGGAGUUUAAAGAGAGGCAUGUUAGGUUAGGUUAGCGUUGGUUAAGUUAGGUUAGUUUAGCAUAUAGGAGGCAGGUUAGGUUAGGUUAGGUUAGGUUAAGUUAGGUUAGUUUAGCAUAUAGGAGGCAGGUUAGGUUAGGUUAGGUUAGGUUAGCAUAGGUUAGGAUAGAUAAACAUAGGUUAGGUUAGCUUAGGUUAGGUUAGGUUAGGAUAGAUAAACAUAGGUUAGGUUAGGUUAGGUUAGGUUAGCAUAGGUUAGGAUAGAUAAACAUAGGUUAGGUUAGGUUAGGUUAAUGUAUUUGCAAAGCUAUUUCUGGCUAUGUGGAUAUACUGAAAGAGAUAGAUUGUGUCAGAAGAUUGGAACAUAUGGUCAAGGAAUUAGGUUUGGACAUAGUAAGAUUAGAUUCAGUUAGGUUAGGUUAGGUCAAUGUAUAUAUAAAUCUAUUUCUGCAUAUGUGUGGAUAUACAGACAGACAGAUUGUGUCGAAUAUAUGGUCAAAGAAUUAGGUUUGGACAUACUAAGAUUAGAUUCAGUUAGGUUAGGUUAGGUUAGGUUAGGUCAAUGUAUAUAUAAAUCUAUUUCUGGGUAUGUGUGGAUAUACUGAGAGAUAGAUUGUGUCGAAUAUAUGGUCAAAGAAUUAGGUUUGGACAUACUAAGAUUAGAUUCAGUUAGGUUAGGUUAGGUUAGGUCAUUGUAUAUAUAAAGCUAUUUCUGGUCAAAGAAUUAGGUUUGGCCAUACUAAGAUUAGAUUCAGUUAGGUUAGGUUAGGUUAGGUCAAUGUAUAUAUAAAGCUAUUUCUGCGUGUGUUUGGGUAUACUGACAAACUGAAUCAGAAUAUAGGAACACAGGGUCACGAUAUAUUAGGUUACAAUGCAGAUAAGGUCGCAUUAGGGCAGACUAAGCUAUGGUAUUGGGCACUAUAGGGUACUGGCUGGUGUUGGCUAUAGUGACUCAUAGAUUGAAUAUAAGGGUAUGAGAGAGUAUGAAAUAGACAUUUGAGAUUAGUUAAGACACAGAACAGGGAGAGGGAGGGGGAGAGGCGGAGUAUAUUAAUAACCAAAGAUUGUGUGUGUGUGUGUGUGUGUGUGUGUGUGUGUGAUCAUGUGUACUUUUAAGAGCCAAAGACUGUGUGCGUUUUUCUGUGUGUAUGUGCGUGUGUUUUAAUAAGUAAGUUCGACAUGUGUGUGUGUGUGUUUACUUGUGUUUUUUAAUUAUUUUGGGGUUUCCAUACGGUGGUUUGGUAUAAAUAAUAAUAAUAAUAAUAAUUGCAUGUUUUUUUAUAUUUCUACUUUUAAAACAUUUACGUAUUAUCGAAGUACAUAUAUUUUCCUUUCUCCAGUGUGCUGUUUGGGGUUAGAUUCUCCCUCUACGUAAAGGUUUUCAUCUCUGUCCAACAUUCGAGCGAGAGAGUCUAUCAGUGAAAUAAUAAUAAUAAUAAUAAUAAUAAUAAUGAUAAUAUGAAGGGAAGGAUAUAAGAAUCAAUAUAGCCUAUGCGAAAUAUUUAAACCUUAGGCCUACAGCGAUAUUUUUUUAGCUUGUGGAAAGAAUAAGAAAAAGAAGAAAAAAAAGCAUUGAGGGAAAGUAGACAAGGAGAAAAGACUUGAUUGAGGGAACGGAAAGAGGAAAUUGAGCAUGGAAAGGAAGGAAGGAAGGAGAGAAAGAGAAAAGGGAGGAGAGGAAAGAAAGAGAAAGAGGGAAGGAAGGAAGGAAGGAGAGAAACAGAGGAAAGGAAGAAAGGAAGGAGAGAAAGAAAGGAAAGGAAGGAAGGAGAGAAACAGGAAAGGAAGGAAAGAGAUAAACAGGAAAGGAAGGAGAGAAACAGGAAAGGAAGGAGAGGAAAGAAAGGAAGGAAGGAGAGAAAGAGGAAAGAAAGGAAGGAGAGGAGAGAAACAGAGGAAAUACAGACUGUCAGAAUAGGUUAAAAAAAAUUCUAAAAAAAACAAACCUCUCGUAAAAACACAUAAAUUCCAACACACACAAACACACCCAUGACCCGCCCUCGCAAGAGACGACACAACCUUUACUCUCGGCACUACGGAACAUACGACAAAGCUUACACAAGGUCCAUAAAUGAAGUUACAAUGGGAUAAAACCGAACAUACGUAACUUGCUAAGGAUUUACGAGGAUACGAAAGAAAGGGACAUGUUCGGACCUUGCGCAGAAGACAACAUAGGGAUUAGCCUUGCCGUUACAGAUUAAAGAAGGAAGGGAAUUGAAGAGGAGGAGGAGGAGGAGAUGAAGGAAAAGGAGGAGGAGGAGGAGGAAUUAAGAGAGAGAGAAAGCAAGAUUUGAUACGAAGAGAAAGGAGAAGGAAUAGGAGGAGGAGGAGGAGGAGGAAUUAAGAGAGAGAGAAAGCAAGAUUUGAUACGAAGAGAAAGGAGAAGGAAGAAGAGAAGGAAUAAGAGGAGGAGGAGGAGGAGAAAGAAGAAGAGGAGGAGGAGGAGGAGGAAUUAAGAGAGAGGGAAAGCAAGAUUUGACAAGAAGAGGAAGGAGGAAGAAGCAAAAAAGAACGAGAGAGAGAAAUCAUAAAAAAAAAAGUACAUUGAUAAAGAGAAAAACAGAAGAAAAUACAAUAGAUAAUAAAUGACAAGUGAGAAAAUGGCUGUUAAUAGGAAUGAGGGUGGGAGGGAGAGGGCAGGAAGGAAGGGAGGACAUCACACAAUACACCCUCUCACUAAUUCUCCCUUCCUCCCUUCCCCUCCCUCUCCGCGGCACCCUCGUAGAGUUAGCUAAGGGUGGAUAGGCCAGUAGGGGGUCAUCGCUAAUCUGUACGCACUGUGCCGGAAGGGGGAUCGUGAUGUUGAGUUGACGUAAGGGAGAUUGAACUAUGAAAUUGAUGUUACAAUGAAAGAAAACUUGGUAUUUGAUGGAUAACUUAAAGAAAAUGUUGUACGCACUGUGACGGAAGGGGGAUCGUGAUGUUGAGUUGUCGUAAGGAAGAAUUAACUAUGAAAUUGAUGAUAGAAUGAAAGAAAACUUGGUAUUUGAUGGAUAACUUAAAGAAAAUGUCAUACGCACUGUGGCGGAAGGGAGAUUGCAAUGUUGAGUUGACGAAAUGAAGAUUGAACUAUGAAAUUGAUGAUAAAAUGAAAGAAAACUUGGUAUUUGAUGGAUAACUUAAAGAAAAUGUUGUUCGCACUGUGACGGAAGGGAGAUUGCAAUGUUGAGUUGACGAAAUGAAGAUUGAACUAUGAAAUUGAUGAUAGAAUGAAAGAAAACUUGGUAUUUGAUGGAUAACUUAAAGAAAAUGUUGUACGCACUGCGGCGGAAGGGAGAUUGCGAUGUUGAGUUGAUGUAAGGAAGAAUUAACUGUGAAAUUGAUGAUGAAAUGAAAGAAAACUUGGUAUUUGAUGUAUAAGAAAAUGUUGUACGCACUGUGGCGGAAGGGAGAUUGCAAUGUUGAGUUGACGAAAUGAAGAUUGAACUAUGAAAUUGAUGAUGGAAUGAAAGAAAACUUGGUAUUUGAUGAAUAACUUAAAGAAAAUGUCAUACGCACUGUGGCGGAAGGGAGAUUGCGAUGCUGAGUUGACGAAAUGAAGAUUGAACUAUGAAAUUGAUGAUGGAAUGAAAGAAAGUCGUCUGCAAUUCUAACACAUUUCAACUCUCUCGUCAUCAAAAAUUUUCUGAAAGAUAUGCGUAUAUUUAAAUUAAUUCUCGUUUCUUAACCAACACAAAAAAAAAGAACAUUAUCAAACUCGACCGCAAUUCUAAGACAUUUCAAAUUUCUCGUUAUCCAAAAAAUUCUGAAAGGUUAAUGUAUAUUUAAAUUAAUUCUCGUUUCUUAACCAACACAAAAAAAAAGAACAUUAUCAAACUCGACCGCAAUUCUAAGACAUUUCAAAUUUCUCGCUAUAAAAAAAUUUCUAAAAGGAAUAUAUAUUUAAGUUCCCGUUUCAUAAUCAAAAAUGUAUUCUAGUUAAAGUCAAUUUCUAUGGUCUGUUUUUCCCGUCAUGACUAAAAUAUAUCAGGUCUAUGCUGUGGUUCAAUAUAUCUCUUUUUUUCACUAAUACGAGUCCUAAUUUUUGUGAUAUACUAAUUUUACGCUGAGACUCAAAAUACCGCGUACUCUCCCUUAAUAUAUCAGGUCUAUGCUGUGGUUCAAUAUCUCAGUUUUUCACUAAUACGAGUCCUAAUUUUUGUGAUAUACUAAUUUUACGCUGAGACUCAAAAUAUCGCGUACUGUCCCUUAAUAUAUCAGGACUAUGCUGUGGUUUAAUAUCUCAGUUUUUCACUAAUACGAGUCCUAAUUUUUGUGAUAUACCAAUUUUACGCUGAGACUCAAAAUAUCGCGUACUCUCCCUUAAUAUAUCAGGACUAUGCUGUGGUUUAAUAUCUCAGUUUUUCACUAAUACGAGUCCUAAUUUUUGUGAUAUACCAAUUUUACGCUGAGACUCAAAAUACUGCGUACUCUCCCUUAAUAUAUCAGGACUAUGCUGUGGUUUAAUAUCUCAGUUUUUCACUAAUACGAGUCCUAAUUUUUGUGAUAUACUAAUUUUACACUGAGACUCAAAAUACCGUGUACUCUCCCUUAA